CGUUUUACUCGACUUUGCUGUUUGCUGUCGUUUGUGCAGUUUCAGGAGUCAGUACAGCUACAAAGCUUUUUGGCUACGUUCACACUGCAGGCAAAAGCUCAUCAAAUCCGACUUUUUUGACCCUAUGCGACCCAUAUCCGAUCAUGAAAGCAACUGCUGUUUGAACGGUCAUGUCGCUGACACAAGACAGACGCCAAUUAUCAGCGCCGGAGAAGACAUCGCGAACGCUUCCUGGCCAUCCAGUGUAGAUGUCAGUGAAACUGUUGGGAAGACAACGUUGGAGAAACGUGAACAUUUUAUUUGUACUGUAUAAUCUGCAGAUUCUGACAGAAAUCUGCAACUAUCCUUUGAAGCACCGCUUCUCUAAAACAGCAACAAGGAUCAUUAUUAGGACAUAUGUAAAUAACAAAAUAACUUUAUAAAAAGCAAAAUUGGGAAACAAAGUCCGAGGCAAGUCUUUAUACUAAGGGCCAUCAAUCAAACAGCACUGUUUGGUCUGGGUCUAAACAGAGCACGUUGUGUGUGAAUUGAAGAAAGGCAUACACAAAGCUCUUCCUCCACAGCUCUUAAUCUCUCCCUGAUUUUUAGUUUUUGUGGCAGCCAUGUUCGAAAAGCUUUGCUCACAUAUGUUGUGGAAAAUGGGAGCAAUGUCAAAAUGUCUCUGUUUGCCAGAAUGGGGAACUCCUUGGCAGCAGUCAACCAAAAACUGUCCAAAGAUAGAUCAGCAAAGCUCAGCUUUAAACCACGGUCUUGUCUCAGUUCAGUUAGUUCCUCCUGUUCCUGAAAAGUCAUAUCCUUUCCGAAAACUGCUGCUGAGCUAUAUGGGUCCCUUACCCAGUCAAGGCAUUCAGUGGAGACUGAGGGGAAAUAAAUGGACAACUUCUCCUCAAGCGUUUUCAAAUGUUUACCUAUUAUUUCACACAGUGUGGCAGUUUUGAUAUCUCCUUGCCAUUUCUGAGUGAGUGGGGACAUGCCAAGGUUGGCAUUUUCCAGAUGUUGUUGCCAGAGAUGCACCUUUGAACGUAAUCC
ensembl:lncRNA